GGGGAGCCGGGCUCACAGCGCGGGGUUUGGGCACAGCGAGCAGGAACUGGAGAGAGCUGCCCUUAGACGGGACGGACUGCGGAGGAGGCGGCUUCCCUGCAGGGCGGUGCUCGGAGGAAGUAGCACCAAGUCAGAGGAAGCUGUGACUCAGAGGCUGAUGAAUCACUCCUGCUCCGGAUUACACGGCUUUUUUCCUCCUCCUGGGCCUCCAGCACGGACUGAGGAGCCCAGUGUCUCAUUGGAGCACGUUCUGCCAGGAAGGUGCUGAUGGAGGAAGGGUACCUUGCAAUGGGGCUUCAGCCCUCGAGUCACAGAAUUGUAGAACCAUUCAGGUUGGAGAAGACCUCUCAGAUCCCCAAGUCCAACCCCAACCCACCACACCAUGCCCACAUCCCUCAGUGCUACAUGUUCGUGGUUCACAACACCUCCAGGGAUGGUGACCCCGCCACUCCCAGGGCAGCCCGUGCCACUGCAUCACCACUUCUUUGGAUGAGUUUUUCCUAAUAUCCAACCUGAACCUUCCCUGGAACAAUAGAAGGCCAUCACCUCUCAUUCCUCCCCUUUUGUUGUUUCUUCCCAGAGAGGCACACAGCUCACUCGUUUGGUAUCUUUUAUUAAUGUAUAGAAAAUGCAUUAAAAAAAGGAACUAUA